GCCGAGACUAGAGUCACAUCCUGACACAGAACUUGUCCUGGUGUGCUACAGUUCUCGGAGAUAAUUUGCUGGUCUUGAUUCACUGGGGGUAGCAGCCAGUGUUCCCCAAUAGUGCCCAGAUCAGAAACAUAC
ensembl:snoRNA small nucleolar RNA, H/ACA box 3B